UACGAAGGGGGCUAGCGUUGCUCGGAAUCACUGGGCGUAAAGCGCACGUAGGCGGACUCUUAAGUCGGUGGUGAAAUCCUGGAGCUCAACUCCAGAACUGCCUUCGAUACUGAGAGUCUUGAGUCCGGGAGAGGUGAGUGGAAUUCCCAGUGUAGCGGUGAAAUGCGUAGAUAUUGGGAGGAACACCAGUGGCGAAGGCGGCUCACUGGACCGGAACUGACGCUGAGGCGCGAAAGCGUGGGGAGCAAACGGG
rnacentral:rRNA from 1 species